rnacentral:ncRNA from 1 species
CCCUUAGAGCGUUAUACCAAACAAAAGUAGUUAGUUAUUUUAAUUUUAACAACAAAAUUGGACGCGUUGAAUAGGGAA